CAUUAGUCUCACAUGCAUGUCAGAUGUAACGUCUCCUUCAUCAUUACUGUUGAUGCACAUUAGAAGACUUUCUGACUGGCUGUGCAGCAGGACUGGAUGUGAUGAUGGAUCACUCUUUUCUCUGUGUGCUGGGGUUAUUCUUGCUCCGUACGUCCAUUGAUGCAAAUGCUGAAGAAGAUGAAGCCAAAGCCACUCUGACAGCAGACAG